CAAUAUUCUCUCCUUUUCCUGUUGCCACGUCAGAAAAUAAGGUAAAGAGAUGACUACACGUGUCCUAUUUUCUUAAAACGCACCGCAUCAUUUAAUCUGAUCUUUCGUUCAUUCGGACUUUAAUUUUGUUGGACCGUUUAUUCUCUUCUUCGAGCCCAAACCACAUAUAUUGGCUUCACCUUGAUGAAACGCCGCGUUUCUAUCAAAGUUAGGCCGACGAUCUUUCAUCUUCUUCGCCACAGCCGACAUCGAAUUUACGGUUCGCCUUACUCUUUAAUCUCUGAGCAUCUUCACCAUAAAAGAGUGUCAGGAGUACGAUACACAUUGUGUCGAGAAAACAAGGUGGGAUCUCGAAUCCAGUAGCAGGUGAAGCUAUGGUUCUGUGUUUUAACAGAUUUUCGCGAACGCUACCAUCCCGCACAAAACGCAGUUCAACUUCUCGGACACGUAUCGAGAAUGAUACUGGAGUAUUGGAAUCAACGGCAAGCGUCUUCGAUUCAUAGUUUAGAGUCUGCUUCUAUGAGAUGAUCCCGUCCAGAUAUCGAGUGGAGAUGUCCGUUACUGAUGAAACCACUGAGGGCCUGUUCGUCUGUUUCGAUGGGGUUAUGACAAAACUGCAUAGCAUUAGAGCCAAUGAAGCUGGCCAUUUUUUGGCUGGCGAAGGAGUGAAACCGGAAGAAACACAGGCUCCUCCCUUUGUUGCAGCAAUGGAAGGUAAAACCUACAUAUUCCAGGUGAGAGUUAGUUCCUACAACUUCAAAGCAAAUCACCAAACCCUUACAAUCUCCCGGUGUAAAACGGGACGAGGUGAAGCGUUUAAAAAGGGAGGCUGCUGAGACAGAAAGGAAUCACUUAGAAGAAUAAGAAGGCCCGAGAGAGAACAGAGCGUCAAGCUGCAGUGAGAGAGAGAGAGAAGCUGCUAGACUGAGAAUAAUGAGGCAAGAACAGGCACUUCAUCUUGACGGAUCUGAGAAAGGACCUAAUGCUACACAUGAGUCAGCGGAAGUUGUUUGAUUCUUUGUUGAUGCUAAGAUGAAUUCUCUGGUAAGUUUUUUGGAGCAGCAUAAAUAUAUAAACGUUACAUUUUUACAUAGAUGAUUAGAAAACCUGUUUUAUGUAAUUAAAUGGUCCCACUUUUUUUUUGUAAUUCUCUCUCUCAUGAUUUCUACUCAUCUAACUAAAUGGUCCCACUUUUUUUUGAAAAUUAGUCACUUUUUUUAUUUUUUCGGGAAUAGACAUUUGAAACCUAAAAACUAAUUAAAAAUUCAGAAAUUAUCAAAGCCUCUUUUUCACAUCGUCGCAAUUUUCCGCCAUAUCCGGAGCAAGUGAUUGUCGUCGCGGUUACACUGUCGUGGUCUGUUGUGGGUCAUUGGGUUGGGUUUUUUUUCCGCCGUCGCAACAGUUCCUUCUCCGCCGCCGCAACACUUCUUUCGAUAUGAUGUGUUGUGUCUCAAUUCAUCUUUUCUCGUCUUGAUUCAUCUUCGUCAUGACCUUCAUGCCUCUUUUAUGCGCUCUGAAACUGGCAUGAUAAGCUUGAGAGCAACAAUGGCUAAUUUCGACAUUUUUGCAUAUUUGAUCCCUAAACUUAUUGUUAUUUAUUUUGUAACCCCAAUACUUUUUAAAUGUAAAAAUUGAUCCCUAAUUUUGUCUCAAAAUUCAGAAAUAUUAAACUAAAGACACAACUAAAUGACUUAAAUGAACAAAAACAAAUAUGAAGUAUCAAAAAUAUAUGUACACCGAAUUGUACGACAGUACACAUGUACAACAAAAAACUAAGUACACAAAUAUUUUUACCAUCCAUAUGUACAACAAUACACAUGUACAUCAGAUUCACAUGUAACUAAAAUCAAGUGCUAAAAAUCAUUAAGAUUAUUAGUUAUGAAUAAAAAUGUGUGCAUCAAUUGUCAUAUAUGUUACUUUAGUAUGAUUGAUUUAUUUUGUUUUUCAUUUUGGCAUUUUGAGUAAGCAACAAUCAAUCCAUCUAUAUCUUAAAGACACCACAUAUUUCCAAUCACCUUCUAUGUACACGUGUACACGAAAUACGGUGUACAAAAUCACUUUGUACACAAAACAACAAUCUUUCUACACGGAAGCAUGCUCACAUAUUGAAACAAAUCGAUGGGACGAGAUUUGCAGAAAAAAAUUCACCAGCUGUACAUGUGAAUCUGAUGUACAUGUGUAUUGUUGUACAUAUAGAUGGUAAAAAUAUUUGUGUACAUAGUUUUUUGUUUUACAUUUGUACGGUCGUACAAUUCGGUGUACAUAUAUUUUUGAUACUACAUAUAUUUUUGAUACUUCGUAUUUGUUUUUGUUCAUUUAAGUCAUUUAGUUUAAUAUUUCUGAAUUUUGAGACAAAAUUAAGGAUCAAUUUUCACAUUUAAAAGUAUUGGGAUUACAAAAUAAAUAACAAUAAGUUUAGGGACCAAAUAUGUAAAAAUAUCGAAAUUAGCCAUUGUUGCUCUCAAGCUUAUCAUGCCAGUUUUAGAGCGCAUAAGAGAGGCAUGAAGAUCAUGGCGACAAUGAAUCACGACGAGAAAAGAUAAAUUGAGACACAACACAUCAUAUCGAAGGAAGUGUUGCGGCGGCGGUUAAGGAACUGUUGCGACGGCGGAAAAAAAACCGACCCAAUGACCCACAAUAGACCACGACGGCAACCACUUGCUCUGGAUACGGCGAAAAUUGCGAAGAUGUGAAAAAGAGGUUUUGAUAAUUUCUGAUUUUUUUAAUUAGUUUUUUGAUUUCAAAUGUCUAGUCCCGAGAAAAUAAAAAAAAAUGACUAAUUUUCAAAAAAAAGUGGAACCAUUUAGUUAGAUGAGUGCCUCUAAUUAAGAAAAACUACCUCAGUAAUCAUAAUUGAAAACAAUCUAUUCAACGCAAAAAUAUAUCGUAAACUUAUUAUAUUAUAAUAUAUACCAAUUUAGAAUUGAAAACAAAAUAUUUUUAUAAAAAUAAAUAAAAAUAAAAACUCAUACGGUUGCGUGGAUCGAAAUUUAGUAUUGUUAUUAAAAACUUAAAACUGUCUUUUGAAUGUAAAUAACUCAUUUUUUAAUAGUUCUAUUCUACAAGACCCCCCACAUUAUGGCAUCAUUUAUCGAAAAGACACGUUAUGGGUCUAUGGCACAUAUUCUAUGCUGUUAAAUCAUAAGCUUAGUGCAUAGUGAGUUACCCAAGACAGGAAACCACACACAAUAAGCCCAAAGUUAUUUCGGAAGAGUCUGUGCUUCGCUAUGGAUAAAAAUAUAUAUUAUUUCUCAAUGGGGCAUAUUAUUUUGUCUACUUGACCCAUUACCACAUUAUAAGUUUUAUUUCCUUUAAAUUAAUUAUAAGGUAAUUUAUUUUUAUCCAGUGACACACAAAAAAAAACAACUUUAAUAUGACAAAUACACAUAACAAUUUAGGGAUUAGAAUACACAAUCCUCAUUAUGUACUAAUUGCAUUUCACUCUUACGUAUACGAUAUGUGUAGUGCUAAUUCAUUAAACAUCGGUCUCUCCUUACAAUUUUAAUUGAUUUUAGUUUUGUGUUAAAACAGUUAUUCAGUUUAAAAUUUCAAAACAUAAAGUUUUUUUUCGAAUUUCAAAUCCAACCUAUAUUUUAUAAAUUAGAUGUUACAAAUUAUGUUUUAAAUUUAUACUAUAUUACAUACUUUCAUAUGGUAUAAUUUAAUUUCAUAUUUAAAUAAAAUACUAUUUUAUCGUGUUUGAUUCUAUUUUUGAAAAAAAAAAACAGAAAAUAUACAAGUAGUUUGCUUUCUGAAAUAUUAAAGUAAUUUAUUUAUUUUGUUCAUAAUUAAGUUUUUUUCUAAAUCUUAAAAUAUUAUACAAAAUUUAGUUACUUUUAUUCUUAAACCGUAAAGUAAAAUUUGAAAUUUUAAAGAUAUGUUUUUCAAGUUGAUAGAUUUUUGAAAUUCUGAAAUAUUAAAGUAAUAUAUCUUAUCAAUAUCUUAUCAUAUAUAAUCCUUUUUUACCUAAAAUUUUUUAAAAGACAAAAUUUAUUAUCAUAUACAUCUCUUGCAAAUGCAAACCAAAAACACAAACCAAAAAAUCAUACAAAAAUAAUAACUUAGAUCACAAGUAAAGUAUAUCCCUACGGACCGAUCCCAGUAUUAUAUACUUUCAUAUGGUAUAAUUUAAUUUCAUAUUUAAAUAAAAUACUAUUUUAUUGUGUUUAUUCUAUUUUUGAAAAAAAAAACAGAAAAUAUACAAGUAAUUCAAAAACGACUGACACUCUCUCUCUCUCUCUCUCUCUCUCUCUCUCUCUCUUUUUCACCGGUGUUUAGGCUCGCGAUUGUUCGGGCUCUUGGCUCCGGCAAGUGGUUGCUCCCACAGAACCGUCUUGCUGGCUUAUGAUUCCUCAAACGCAGCCCACCCCUUUUUCUCUUCGCCGGAAUUUUCGGUUCUGGUAUUUUCUUUUGUCCUUCUCUCUUUUGGAUCAUUUCUUCUCCGGUAUCAACUCGGUUCAGAUGUGGUUGGAUCAUUAGAUCUGGUGGCCUCCAAUCCAUCCCUUAAUGUUAGGGUUGAAUAGUCUUGCUCGUAUAUAUAUUCAUCUUCUAAGAUGAUUUGAGUUUGAUUGUGACUAUUAGUCUAGCAUACGUGUUAUUCACAGUGACUUGUGAGGAUUGGCGGCUCUUCGAGUUAUAGAUUGCGGUGGCUCCGUUUGAAUCGGGUGUUUUCAAGCCGGUGGACUUUGAUUUCUGUUGGUUGUUGCGCUUGCCCCGAUGAGUAUGUCUCCGGUGGUUUUCAGAGUUCCGGCGAUCGGACGCGUUUGUGCUCUAAACGCGUGUUCACAUCAACUUGUCGUUCGUACUGUGCAGCAUACGUGUACUUUUCUAUGGAGCAGGCUUUUGGCUGGGCCUAUUUUGGCCCGUCUUGUUAUGAUUUGUCAGCCCAUUUUGGGCCUUUGUUUUUUAUAUGUCUGGGCCUUUUUUAUAAUUCUUUGUCUAUAUUUAAUAAAAUUACAAAAAAAGAAACAUAAUAACGGUAUGUAUCAUAGCACGUAAAAGAGAGAAGAUCGUUAGUUUUAUUGCUAAAAUUGUUACAAUAUGCGCUAUAAUAGUAUUAUAUAUUUAGUGCCUUGUUAAACAACUUUGGGACGAGCAACAUAUUAUAUUAAUAGAUUAUCUUGUUUUAUUUUCGUUUCUUGAAUUUUGUCAUUUCAACUCAUUAAAACAUAUAUAUGAAUUGUUGUUUUGGACAGGAAGAAGCUAUAAGGUGCAGUUUUUGUUUUUUAAAAAGAAGCUAUUAAGGUAGAAAUAAACAAUAUACUCAUUUAUGUACUAGUUGUAUUUCACUCUUACGUAUACGAUAUGUGUAGUAGUGCUUUGCUAAUUCAUUAUACAUCUGUUUGUCCUUAAAAUUUUAAUUGAUUUUAAUUAGUUUUGUGUUAAAAUAAUUAUUCAGUUUUAAAUUUCAAAACAUGAAGUUUUUUUUUUAAUUUCUAAUUUCAACACCAACCUAUAUUUUUACAAAUUAUAAUUUAUAUUUUACAAACGUAAAGUUUUGCGUGAACUCUGCUACUCUCUUCACGUCGCAGCGCGUGACCUCGCAGCAUAGUUUUAAACCGUGCUCUCUACUCUACUAAAUUAUACUCGCAGCGCGUGAACUUCUGCCACUCUGCGACUGUACGGUACUAGGUAGGCUGCUCUGCUCAUUAUCUAAAAACAAACAACGUAAAAAAGGCGUCUCUGCUCCUUCAACGUCUCUCGUCUCUCGUCUUCCACACUUUAUUGUUUUACAGAGAAGAAAAAAGAGAGUAACAAUGGCGGAAUUUGUGAAAACCGAUCCACAGAUAGUAAACGUCGGUCACAUCGUGACGGAGGAAGAUGGCAUAGCUGUUCCCGAAGUUUCCGUAAUGCUUAGCGGAAACUACGUCGACGUCGAUUCUCCGUUCACCGGUAAAACCAAAUCGUUUAGUUUUUUUUUUUUUUUUUUGAUAAGUAAUGAUGACGUGGAAUGAUGACCAUGUUGAUCAAUGUUCGUUGGGAGGGAGACGGAAUUUAGGAGGAUACCUGGGAGUCCGAGCCCCAAAUGAGGAUUGAUUAUCCAGAGCUGUUUCGGGGUGUCAUUGGAGAGUUUGGUGAUGUUAAUUCGGGGUCGAAUUCCUUGUUAGUGGGGGAGAAUUGUAAUGAUCCACAAUCUCCACUAUCCCCACUAUCUCCACCAUCUCCACCAUCCCCACCACUCCCACCAUCUCCACUAUCUCCACCAUCUCCACCAUCCCCAACUUCUUUAAAGAGAAAGAGAGAGAGGGGGAGAGAGAGAGAGAGAGAAAGAGAGAGAGAAAGAGAGAGAAAGCUCACCUGAGCUCGUCGCCGGAGCAACCGUGUGCCGUGAUCACGUUCAGCUUGCCACCACCGAUAAACACCCUAGGUAACCGCCGGAAACCGCAUUCCUUAAGCUCAGUUUCGUUUCCGUUUAGUAAAUCGCCCAUAACUUCCUAACCAUUGAUCAUCUCGUGCAUCCAAGGCUAUCAUCGUGUUCCUCUCGUCGAGACGAAGCCGUAGACACCAACCACGCCUCAAUCGGAGCCCGGACGAAGCCGCACGCGCCUCCCGAAGAUUCGCCUCGGCGCGCGCGUGAAACACACGCGCCACCGCCGUCCGCCGGAGCCACCGCGAGUUCCGGCCACUCGCCGCCGUCACUGACCAACGUUCGCCGGAGCCGCCGUGACCGACCACCGUCCGUUCGCCGCCGAGAAGCGGCCGCCGCGUCGCCGCCUCGCCGCCGUCGCCGCCGUUGACUUUUCGAUUUGGAGUCCAUUUGAGCAGCUGGAGUUCAUAAAUACCACUUCUUAUUAUUGCUAAG